rnacentral:lncRNA from 1 species
GAAGAAGCUGGAAAGGCAUCAUGUCAUACAUGUUGUCCAUGCCCUGCAUGCAUCAACAAGCCCCGCAGCAACAUGGGAUCAGACUGCUGAGAAAACAAUCCAUGUAAAAGAGCAGUGAGAAGGUUGGCUGGGAUUCUCCAGCCAUGCUGCAGGAAUGUCAAUACCCAGCCUUGCACCUUGCUCAUCCUCACCCCAACCUGCUGAGUUGCCUCCUCAGCUUGGCCUCCACCCUGUCUCAUCACCAUGGGCCUGCCUGGUGAUCCCUGGGUGGUGGCUGACACCAGGUACACUGCCAUCACCGAACACCGCUGCACUGGAUCCUCUUGGAAAGAUGUGUUGGAUGGCUUUAGAGCCUGGAUCCAUGGAUGAUGUGAGUGUCCAGGAGGUCUUCUGUGGCUUACAGACUCUGCUGGGAGGUGAAUGCUUUCAAAAUUAAAUCCUCUUUAGAAUUGCUGAAACCUUCAUGAGUAACAGUCAUCAUUUGCAUUAAAAGCUUUGCUUAUUGCCGAAGUUAUUUCAUAUUCCUUUUGAUUAGUGGCAGAGAAAUAUUAGACUUUGGAUAUAUAAUUCUUUCCUUAUCAUCAGCUUUCUGGGACAUCAGAAAGGAGACAAAAACAGUAAGGGCAGCUGUGCUCUCUGUGAAAUCCAGGGCUACCUGGAUGGUCUGAGGAAUGGCUCUAGUCAUUUAUUUUUCUAAAGCUGCUGGAAACUGCUGCACAGGAACCUAUGUCUGUUUUGUGAAAUGAACAGUUAUAUUUAUUACUGAGAAGGUCAAAAGGAAGGAGAAACUCGCUGAUGGUAUGCAGGCAUCCAGGUAGUGAGAAGCAGGGAGUGGAGAUUUCCACCAGUACUGGUGGAAAGACCAGAGCAGAGGCAGUCACAGCAACAUCUGAUUAAAAUCAGAACUGAUUAAAAUCAGAAGAAAGGACGAAUAAAACAAGAGCGGAUUGAAAGUACA